rnacentral:rRNA from 1 species
CGGCGAGUGAAGCGGCAACAGCUCAAAUUUGAAAUCUGGCCCCCCAGCGGGGUCCGAGUUGUAAUUUGAAGAGGAUGCUUCUGGCGAGGCGCCGUCCGAGUUCCCUGGAACGGGACGCCGCAGAGGGUGAGAGCCCCGUACGGUCGGACGCCGAGCCUCUGUGAAGCUCCUUCGACGAGUCGAGUAGUUUGGGAAUGCUGCUCAAAAUGGGAGGUAAACCCCUUCUAAAGCUAAAUACCGGCCAGAGACCGAUAGCGCACAAGUAGAGUGAUCGAAAGAUGAAAAGCACUUUGAAAAGAGAGUUAAAAAGCACGUGAAAUUGUUGAAAGGGAAGCGCUUGCGACCAGACUCGCGCCCGUCGGAUCAGCCGUCGCUCGUCGGCGGCGCACUCCGGCGGGCUCGGGCCAGCAUCGGUUCGCCUCGGGGGGAGAAAGGCGGCGGGAAUGUGGCUCUACGGAGUGUUAUAGCCCGCCGUGUAAUACCCCCGGGCGGACCGAGGACCGCGCGUAUGCAAGGAUGCUGGCGUAAUGGUCGUCAGCGACCCGUCUUGAAACACGGACCAAGGAGUCGUCCUAAUAUGCGAGUGUUCGGGUGUCAAACCCCUGCGCGUAAUGAAAGUGAACGGAGGUGAGAGCUUCGGCGCAUCAUCGACCGAUCCUGAUGUUCUCGGAUGGAUUUGAGUAAGAGCAUAUUGGGCCGGACCCGAAAGAAGGUGAACUAUGCCUGUAUAGGGUAAAGCCAGAGGAAACUCUGGUGGAGGCUCGCAGCGGUUCUGACGUGCAAAUCGAUCGUCAAAUAUGGGCAUGGGGGCGAAAGACUAAUCG